UACAGAGGUCCCGAGCGUUGUUCGGAUUUACUGGGCGUAAAGGGCGCGUAGGCGGUCGUGACAAGUCACUUGUGAAAUCUCCGGGCUUAACUCGGAACGGUCAAGUGAUACUGUCGGACUAGAGUACAGAAGGGGCAACUGGAAUUCUCGGUGUAGCGGUGAAAUGCGUAGAUAUCGAGAGGAACACCUGCGGCGAAGGCGGGUUGCUGGGCUGAUACUGACGCUGAGGAGCGAAAGCGUGGGGAGCGAACAGG
rnacentral:rRNA from 1 species